rnacentral:rRNA from 1 species
AUAACGGCGUCGAGCGGCGGACGGGUGAGUAAUGCCUAGGAAAUUGCCCUGAUGUGGGGGAUAACCAUUGGAAACGAUGGCUAAUACCGCAUGAUGCCUACGGGCCAAAGAGGGGGACCUUCGGGCCUCUCGCGUCAGGAUAUGCCUAGGUGGGAUUAGCUAGUUGGUGAGGUAAGGGCUCACCAAGGCGACGAUCCCUAGCUGGUCUGAGAGGAUGAUCAGCCACACUGGAACUGAGACACGGUCCAGACUACUACGGGAGGCAGCAGUGGGGAAUAUUGCACAAUGGGCGCAAGCCUGAUGCAGCCAUGCCGCGUGUGUGAAGAAGGCCUUCGGGUUGUAAAGCACUUUCAGUCGUGAGGAAGGUAGUGUAGUUAAUAGCUGCAUUAUUUGACGUUAGCGACAGAAGAAGCACCGGCUAACUCCGUGCCAGCAGCCGCGGUAAUACGGAGGGUGCGAGCGUUAAUCGGAAUUACUGGGCGUAAAGCGCAUGCAGGUGGUUUGUUAAGUCAGAUGUGAAAGCCCGGGGCUCAACCUCGGAAUAGCAUUUGAAACUGGCAGACUAGAGUACUGUAGAGGGGGGUAGAAUUUCAGGUGUAGCGGUGAAAUGCGUAGAGAUCUGAAGGAAUACCGGUGGCGAAGGCGGCCCCCUGGACAGAUACUGACACUCAGAUGCGAAAGCGUGGGGAGCAAACAGGAUUAGAUACCCUGGUAGUCCACGCCGUAAACGAUGUCUACUUGGAGGUUGUGGCCUUGAGCCGUGGCUUUCGGAGCUAACGCGUUAAGUAGACCGCCUGGGGAGUACGGUCGCAAGAUUAAAACUCAAAUGAAUUGACGGGGGCCCGCACAAGCGGUGGAGCAUGUGGUUUAAUUCGAUGCAACGCGAAGAACCUUACCUACUCUUGACAUCCAGAGAACUUUCCAGAGAUGGAUUGGUGCCUUCGGGAACUCUGAGACAGGUGCUGCAUGGCUGUCGUCAGCUCGUGUUGUGAAAUGUUGGGUUAAGUCCCGCAACGAGCGCAACCCUUAUCCUUGUUUGCCAGCGAGUAAUGUCGGGAACUCCAGGGAGACUGCCGGUGAUAAACCGGAGGAAGGUGGGGACGACGUCAAGUCAUCAUGGCCCUUACGAGUAGGGCUACACACGUGCUACAAUGGCGCAUACAGAGGGCGGCCAACUUGCGAAAGUGAGCGAAUCCCAAAAAGUGCGUCGUAGUCCGGAUUGGAGUCUGCAACUCGACUCCAUGAAGUCGGAAUCGCUAGUAAUCGUGGAUCAGAAUGCCACGGUGAAUACGUUCCCGGGCCUUGUACACACCGCCCGUCACACCAUGGGAGUGGGCUGCAAAAGAAGUAGGUAGUU